GACGAACGCUGGCGGCGUGGAUUAGGCAUGCAAGUCGCGCGACGGACCUUCGGGUUACGGAGCGGCGAACGGGUGAGUAACACGUGAACAAUCUGUCCCUACAUUCCGGAUAAUUGGCCGAAAGGCCUUGUAAUACGGGCGAGGAUGGUGGUGAGGCAUCUCACUAUCAGGGAAGGUGCAACGCAAGUUGUGCCGUGCAGGGAGGGGUUCGCGGCCCAUCAGUUAGUUGGUGGGGUAACGGCCACCAAGACGACGACGGGUAGCUGGUCUGAGAGGAUGGUCAGCCACAUUGGAACUGAGACACUGUCCAGACUCCUACGGGAGGCUGCAGUCGAGAAUCUUGGGCAAUGCACGAAAGUGUGACCCAGCGACG
rnacentral:rRNA from 1 species